rnacentral:lncRNA from 1 species
GAUAAUGGUGGUUUUGAGUGGAAUUUUGACUACAAACCCGAUGAUGUUGGCACUGGCAAGGCGGUUGAAUGAAGAGGUGGUGGCCGUAGGUGGUGUUGGUCCGGAUGACCAUUCGCCUAUUCCCCCGAUCAGGUCAUCUUGCAAAUCCCAUAUUCCGAGUCCCACAUGCCCUCCCUAUUCUUCAAUGCAUAGGUGAGUCCUCUAUCUAUAUAAAUAACUAUUAAUAUGAUAUAAUUUCGAUUUAAUUUUUAUGUAUCACUAACAUUAUAGUACGUACCAUUAUAUAUAUAUAUAUAUAUAUAUAUAUAUAUAUAUAUAUAUAUAAUUUAUUUGUUUCUUGGUUGGGACGCAGGUAAAAUGGCAAAUUGGGAUAGCAGAAAAGAUCAAAAGAAAUGCAGAGUUGUGAUAGAAACAGCUUGUUUCUUGAUUAUGUUUAAAGUUGAACAUGUAGUCAAAGGAUUAAUGUUUGUUUGUCUGAUGCUUGCGAAUAGUUGUAAUUGUAGG